rnacentral:rRNA from 1 species
UACGUAGGGCGCAAGCGUUGUCCGGAAUUAUUGGGCGUAAAGAGCUCGUAGGUGGCUUGUCACGUCGGGUGUGAAAGCUUGGGGCUUAACUCCAGGUCUGCAUUCGAUACGGGCUGGCUAGAGGUAGGUAGGGGAGAACGGAAUUCCCGGUGUAGCGGUGAAAUGCGCAGAUAUCGGGAGGAACACCGGUGGCGAAGGCGGCUUCCUGGCCCGUACCUGACGCUGAGGCGCGAAAGCGUGGGGAGCGAACAGG